AUUGCCUUUUAUAAAAAUCUACCAGGGGAUGACAUUGACAUUGACAUUG
rnacentral:sRNA from 1 species